UCCUAUUGUGUCUUGUUUCCUGUCUUUGUCUGUUUUCCCUCCAAUUUUGAUUUCCUGAUCUGCCCUGAUUGGUCUCACCUGUGUCUAGUCUGUAAGCUGUGCUGUGUCUUCCCUCUCUGUCAGUUUGUCUCUUCCUUGCAUGUCCUUGUGUUGCCACAUUUCUAUGGUUACCUUUUGGACUCCUUUUGAUGAUUUUAGGUUUGGAUUAUCUUCUGUUUGAACUUGCAGCCACCUUGAGUUUUGCACGCUUCUGUUUCCUUUACCACGCUGGCUUCCUGCUGCUGAGAUGAACUUGUCAGGUUCUCCCAGACUUCUUAAGAACUGGAGCAACAUUAACACUCUGAUCCGUGCGACGCUUCAGCACAAAUCUAUAAGUACGCCAGCUUCCAUCCUUCCCUUCCCUCCCCAUCCAUCUUGCUCCCUUUCUCAAUCUCUUUUAAAUCUUCAGCAGCAGUGGAAAGGCUAUUUUCCACCUGUGUGCCAACGCCAGCAUCUGCAGUCUGGUGUCAGAGGUGCUAUUGUAUACACCUCGCUCAAAGGGCCGAUGGGACAAAAGAAAUGUGCCUAAUGUGGCCUCGAUGGAUUUCCCCACUGACUGGUUUGGGGGGGUGAGUUUUUGUGUAUAUGUUCUCACACUCUCUGCGAUCCCUUGAGAUGCUGGACUUCCGUCAAGCGGUGCAUGUGUUGUUCGUUGCCGCCAAGCUCGAUUAAUCUGAUUUAGAGUUAAAAACUGCUCACUAAUGGUCUCAAAUGGUUUCCUUAAGAGGCUUUUCCGAUUUGUAAAAAGCAUUUGCAGUGUCACAGGCUAUAAACAUGAAAAAUAUCACAAUUUAAUUGCAGGCUUCUGUUGCAGUCCGAAUGACAGGAUCGCAGCGCUAUUAAAAAUGAUGGUGACCGCGUAAUUGUGAUGAAUGCUGCGUGUCAGAGUGUAGCGCUGAUGGAAACGCUAGCCUCUGUGCUAACUGACCAGCUAACCCUCCUAAUCCGGCCCUGAGGAAGUAAUGAAGCUCAGCUGACUCAAUUCACUAGCGGGUGUCGCUGCACAGACGUGGCAUUCAUAUUGUACAUACAUGAGGACGCAUCACUGUGCAGGCCGACGUGCACUCACACAGUCUAACUUGACAUCCACAUGUGAUGCUCUUUCUAAAGCAAAAAAAUUAUGCCCAUCGUCUGCACACAUCUGUAAAGUGGGGAGACAGUCAAGUGUUUUCUCGACCACAGACAACACACAACAUCAGAGAGCUGUCUCUUCCUCUCGGCCCCAAACCAUCUGUUUAUUUCCUCCACUGAACUUCAAUUUUCCUCAACAGUGUAAUUUUCUGUGAGCAGCACGAUAUCUUGCCUUUCAUGUCUGCGCUCAUGUCUUUUGUAAUGCCAAAAUGUGUGGUUUAUGAUGAAAAUGUAAAGCAGGCAGAUGAUUUAGAUUUUUCAUUAUUUGCUCUCUGGCUAAUGUCUACAAAUGUUCAGGGAUAUUUAUUUGGACAGAAUCCUCCAGUUGUUUGAUAUAACGGAAUUAUGCAAUAAAUGUGAUACAUCAGCAAUUUUCCAUGAAAAAAAAAAAAAACUCGA